UACGUAGGGUGCAAGCGUUAAUCGGAAUUACUGGGCGUAAAGCGUGCGCAGGCGGUUAUGUAAGACAGUUGUGAAAUCCCCGGGCUCAACCUGGGAAUUGCAUCUGUGACUGCAUAGCUAGAGUACGGUAGAGGGGGAUGGAAUUCCGCGUGUAGCAGUGAAAUGCGUAGAUAUGCGGAGGAACACCGAUGGCGAAGGCAAUCCCCUGGACCUGUACUGACGCUCAUGCACGAAAGUGUGGGGAGCCAAACAGG
rnacentral:rRNA from 1 species